rnacentral:rRNA from 1 species
AAUAGAUACCCGGGUAGUCCUUGCCGUAAACUAUGUAUACUUGGUGUUGUUAGGCUCAACCCUGACAGUGCCGGAGCAAACGUGUUAAGUAUACCGCCUGGGGAGUACGCUCGCAAGGGUAAAACUCAAAAGAAUUGACGGGGACCCGCACAAGCAGUGGAGCAUGUGGUUUAAUUCGAUGCAACGCGAAGAACCUUACCUGGGCUUGAACUGCAAAUGACCGCUAUAGAGAUAUAGUUUUCUCGCAAGAGACAUUUGUAGAGGUGCUGCAUGGCUGUCGUCAGCUCGUGCCGUGAGGUGUUGGGUUAAGUCCCGCAACGAGCGCAACCCUUGUCGUUAGUUGCCAGCGAGUAAUGUCGGGAACUCUAACGAGACUGCCUGGGGUUAACCAGGAGGAAGGUGAGGAUGACGUCAAGUCCGCAUGGCCUUUAUGUCCAGGGCUACACACGUGCUACAAUGGUCGGUACAGAAGGCAGCAAGAUCGCAAGAUGGAGCAAAUCCUUAAAACCGGCCCCAGUUCGGAUUGGAGU